rnacentral:rRNA from 1 species
GACAGAGGAUGCAAGCGUUAUCCGGAAUGAUUGGGCGUAAAGCGUCUGUAGGUGGCUUUUUAAGUCCGCCGUCAAAUCCCAGGGCUCAACCCUGGACAGGCGGUGGAAACUACCAAGCUGGAGUACGGUAGGGGCAGAGGGAAUUUCCGGUGGAGCGGUGAAAUGCGUAGAUAUGCGGAGGAACACCGAUGGCGAAGGCAAUCCCCUGGGCCUGCACUGACGCUCAUGCACGAAAGCGUGGGGAGCAAACAGG